rnacentral:rRNA from 1 species
CGCUUGUUUAACAAAAACAUGUCCUUUUGUUAUUUAUUUAAGGUCUAACCUGCCCAAUGAUUUAUUUGAAUGGCCGCGGUAUUUUAACUGUGCUAAGGUAGCAUAAUAAUUUGUUUUUUAAUUGUAAACUAGAAUGAAAGGUUGGACGAGAUAUUGACUUUCUUUGAUUUAUUUAUUAAAUUUAAUUUUUAAGUGAAAAGGCUUAGAUAUUUUUAUUGGACGAGAAGACCCUAUAGAUCUUUAUAUUUGCUUGAAUUAUAAUGUUUAGUGAUUAAGGAUUAUUAAUUGAUGUAUUUAUUUUAUUGGGGUGAUUGCGGAAUAAAUAUAACUUCUGUUUUAUUUAAAGCAUAAAUUAGUGUUUUAUUGAUCCAAUAUUAUUGAUUAUAAGAUUAAGUUACCUUAGGGAUAACAGCGUAAUUCUUUCGGAGAGUUCAUAUUAAUGAAGGAGUUUGCGACCUCGAUGUUGGAUUAAAAUAAGUUUCAGGUGUAGCAGUUUGAUGACUAGGUCUGUUCGACCUUUUAAUUUUUACAUGAUCUGAGUUCAGACCGG